AGCAGGCCGAGGCUGUGACGCUGGCUGCCAGGGCUGCAGGCGAUGGGACCGCUGCCUGUGCCCUGGCCUGGGGCGCACCGAGCAGAACAAGACGUGAGAAACUACUGGACGUGGCACAAGAAAUUUCUGGAUGUGACAGAUCACAGGAUACCUGGGAACAACAAGACGUUGGCUGAGAAUAAGGAUCCCAAUUCAACGUAACCCUCUUCACAACCCCAUGCUGGGACUGACUGUUCCUGAGGAAGCAGGGCACAGCUUUGUUAACCCAGAAAAGUUGCACCCAGUUGCCUCAAGAGUUCUGCAUCUGGGAGCUUCACUGCAAGGGACCGACUCAGAAGGUUCUUCAGCUGGGGGCUGUGCCUCCCCUGGCACACGUGCGCAGCACCUCUCCCGGCGAUGGUCGAGCCCUGAGAAGGUCCUUUCACAGCUGCCACAGGAGACAGUGUCGUGUGCCACAGCAGUGCAUUCACUGCUGUACCGUUUCUCUCUGGAGCGAUGCUCUAACGGCUUUACCUGAGGAGUGAGAGCUGAGACAGACAACAGAAAAAGCAUGAAAGAAAUCUCAGUGAAGACAAGAUUCCCAGAAUUUAAGAAAAAAAAAUUCAAAUCACAGAAUGGUUUGUGUUGGAAGGGACCAUUAAAGUCCAGCCUCCCUGCAGCUCGAUCAGGUUGCUCAGAGCCUUGUCCAGCACGGCCUUGAAUGGAUCCAGAUCUCCAGGUAUGUGUGUGAAAUAUUGCUCACCCUUCCCGUGUCUGCCCAGCUCAGCACAGUCCUGCAAAUGAAAACACCAUUCACUAGAGACCCCAGUAAAAAUAUACCCAGGCUGAAGUUCUUCAUCUCCUCAAGGAUUCUGAUGUCCUGUCUGAAUAAAAGUUUAAAAUAAGGUAAAGUUAUUUUCAUUAGCUGUUGAAAGUUUGGAUGAAAAUAUGUUUCUUAGCAG